CGCGUAGGCGGCCGAUUAAGUCGGGGGUGAAAGCCUGUGGCUCAACCACAGAAUUGCCUUCGAUACUGGUUGGCUCGAGACCGGAAGAGGACAGCGGAACUGCGAGUGUAGAGGUGAAAUUCGUAGAUAUUCGCAAGAACACCAGUGGCGAAGGCGGCUGUCUGGUCCGGUUCUGACGCUGAGGCGCGAAAGCGUGGGGAGCAAACA
rnacentral:rRNA from 1 species